rnacentral:rRNA from 1 species
UACGGGGGGAGCAAGCGUUGUUCGGAUUUACUGGGCGUAAAGGGCGCGUAGGCGGUCGUGACAAGUCACUUGUGAAAUCUCCGGGCUUAACUCGGAACGGUCAAGUGAUACUGUCGGACUAGAGUACAGAAGGGGCAACUGGAAUUCUCGGUGUAGCGGUGAAAUGCGUAGAUAUCGAGAGGAACACCUGCGGCGAAGGCGGGUUGCUGGGCUGACACUGACGCUGAAGCGCGAAAGCUAGGGGAGCAAACAGG